ensembl:lncRNA FTX FTX transcript, XIST regulator
UGCUGAAGAGGUAUAUUGAGCCCUGCCUGGUUAACCUCCAGUGAGGUUAUUAGAGAAUUGGGAGAGGCUCAAAUCAGCAUCCUGCACCUAGUUAUCAAACCAUUGUGAAGUCUUGAUUCCUGGAUGGCCAGAAAACUUGUCAUUGGUCAAGAGCAACAUUAAGAUCUGCCUGUUACUCAUACUGAUGCUUCCUGCCCAGCAAGUUCAUCAGAGGGCGAGGAUGAAUUACGGUUGCCAUGAAUGUCCUUGUGAGGCAGUUGGGAAGCCUUGGCUGGAUUGUGAAGGAUAUUUGAAAAGUAUUUUAGAGUCCACCAGAUCAUCCAUGUGAGUGACCAUGCAGCAAAAGAAGGAGGGUCCUCUCAGUGAUUAAGGAGGAGCUGGUAGAAGACUUAAUGUGAGGGAGAAGAAAAGGAAAGAAGUAGCGGGGGAUGACUACAACCUCUCUUCAUCUCAGCUUCACAAAGCAUCAUUCAACAAAUGGAUCACUAUUAAGAUCCUCUCCAGAUCACAGAACAGUGGUUGGUAGGAUGGCGGAGACAUGGACUUCAGAGAGUUCUUGGUAGAAGACUCAAAGAGCCACCUGUCAUGAGACAUCCCACUUCCUUCCCCAGGUUACUUCCAAGACUGAGCAGCCAGGUUUUUGGUAGAUGAGAACAAAUGUUUCUUCCUGAAGCCCUGGGGCUUCAGGUAGGAAGAAGGACUGCUAUACUUGUUCUCACCCUUGGCUUCUGGCUGCUCCAGUUAAACAUGGUUCCCAUUGAUACAGACAUUAGAGUGGGAAAGGACUUCGUUCAUAGACCGAAGACCCUCAAAGGAAAGUCCUUCCAUUUUGGGAAGGGUGACAUUGAUUUCGUUUAGCUGCUUAAGAUAUGUACUUGCUGUUGUCUUGUGAGACAUGACAUCUGAAGCUGAAGAGGAGUCCCUCUCAUUGUUGUCAUUGUCCCACCGGGACUGAAAGUCUCCCAGUUGAGGCAGCAUUUUAGCUUUGAUGUCUACAGGGCAAUCAUGGAUCAGGAAAUUUCUGCAAAUUAGACUUGGAAAACAAGGUCUUGAUCCUUCUUGUCUUUGGACGAAGACUAAUCAUCACUUUUGACUGAAGGUGUAGUGCUGGAGACUAUGUUGGAGGCAGCACCUGAUGCACUAUCCAUAUUCUUCCCCUUGAUCUUGUCUUAAAGUUUUCCAAAUGGAUUCCGAGGCUUGUCUUUGAUGAAAAGGUCAAACAUACUGGCAGUCAUGUUGUUUCUCAUAAGCUGGAUGUCAACCUCAAUUUCUCCUCUUUAUCCUUCUCUCCUGGUUUGGAUUUCAAGGUAUACCACCGCAUCUUCCUGCUCCCCUAGUCUGGGUGCAGGUCCUGCAGGUACACCUCGGCGAAGCCCAAGUACAGUAGCAGCAGCACCUCAAAGGUGGCCUCCUCCUCUGACACUGAGGUGGCAUACUUCUCCUUACCCACCUGAAUCACCGAGUACAUGUUGCUUGUACCGUCAGGCUCUUGGUUCUUGGCCCCUGGCCCUAUGCCUGCAACACUGUCACCUGCACGUGGAUUGGGAACCACAUAGCCCCCGGACCUGCUAAGGCCAUUAAGGACAGGAUGGUGAUGCCUCGGCUGACUGACGUGAGAAGAUUGUCAUGACCCAUGGCCUCUACUGCUGUCCUACCAACAGAAACUUCAUAAUGUUGUGCAGGCGUUACCACUACCUAGUUCCAGAACAUUGCCAUCACCCCCAAAAUAAAUCUUGCAUUCAUUAAGCAGUCACCCCUAUUUUCCCCC